GCCUGCGGAAGGGGGAAAGCGGAGAAGGGGAUCAGCAUCCAGGCGCGGACCUACCGGACCCGCGGCGGCAUCGGGCGCAGCCCGGCGUGGCAGAGGCUGAGCCGGUCUGAGGGAGGGGAGUGGCCGCCGGGCGGACGCAGGGGGUGGCUGCUAGCCCGAGUCCGUGUGCGGAGGAUGGAGGGGGCCACCCCUCAGCCUGACGGGGCUCGAUUUGUGCUGUCUCCUACACACCCUGGGGGAGGGGAGGAGGCGGGCCCUCUUGCUCCCCCCCGGCGGCUGCGCCCAGCCCAUUAACCCUUUACACCCAGGCCGGGUAGGGCUCUGCCCUUCAGAGAGGUCGCAGGCCUGUGACGUGAGAGGUCUCGCGUCUCCCCAGCAUCCUUCAAGUCAGCGAGCCGCCGUUAACGUCCGUUAGUUUCCACCGGCAGCCAAGAGAACCUUUCGGUGAGGAAGUUCCAUCCCUUCCCCCUCACGGCCCCCCUUUCUGGGGCCUGAGUGGAAUUUGGAACAUUCCGUUUUGCUGCAAUCAAGCCGGCUGCUCUGCACAGGAAGGAAGACAGAGAUGCUGUAGUAAAUGAAGCUGUAAGGAGUGUGGGGACUGGACUUUGGAGAGAUGGAACAAGUGGAGUAGUCUUCAUGCUCCUAGGAAGUUACUGUACUGUUGGGCAAAGUUUGGACACCCUGCUCUGAAAUUUCCACAAGGCUGCAACAGCCAAUGGUAUUCCCUCUUCAAAGUGUAACCUCCAUAUCUAUAAAGGACUAAGUAGUGAGGAGAACUGUUAGGUGACCAGCUUGUGCUGCUCUCUCUUUGUACCAUCACGGAGGCUAAGAUCCUCUUGGUUAUUCUUGCUGACUAUUUCUGAGGUUAAACACUGCAAGAGGAGAGACCAUGUGUUUUCAAUGGAGGGUCACACAUCUGGAAAUUGCUCCCUCCAGAGGUCCAUCAGAACCCAAAUUUGUGGUCAGAUUUGUGAGCAACGCUGUAUACCUGCACUAUUGAGAAAAGUGUGAGCUAUUCCGUCAUUAAAAGACACAAGAAUCCUGAACCGAUCGGUCUCAUAAUCAUCUCCAAGCUGUUGAAGAAUGGGGAUAACAGGAGCUAUCUAUCUUGAAAAGCAUGGACAUUCGCAAAUGACAGAAGCCAUGUCAAAGACUGAGGAAAGGAAGGAUGGCACCAGUUACACCAAAGGUUAUAUCGUCUCCAUUUCUGAAGGUAAAUUUGUCUAGUAGAUUCCUUUCUGCUAUUUACCAAUGUCUUUUGAACUUCAGAUAAACAUGUGGUCUCUAGUCCCAAGAACCAUUGAGGAAUCAAGCUUGUAGUUGCAGGAUGUUCAGAUUAGGAUGGAGCACUUGACCCGCAUUCUGAGACAACAGUCAAGGUUUGUUCAGGAGCUGCCACAGAGGGCAAGAGGUGAGUUUGAUGAGAUUGAUGUGCAAGCACUGUUCCUGUUGUGACCAUUUGCCUUGGACUGUGUGAGGACCCAAAUGUGCUUCCCAUCCCAAAAGGGAAACAUUCAACAUUACUAUCACUGUAGGGGAUUCUGGCUGAACAGGAUUCCUGCACAAACUUUGGAUGGAUUCAGCCACCAGAUGAGUGACUUCAGGACCUGAUUGGGUACAGAUACUCACUUGUUAAUACAGUUUGUUGGGUAUACAAACAGUCCUGAGCCACCCCUGAAGAUACAAACGGGUGCUUUGUGUUACAAAAACGCAAGCUGCCAUACAUAACAGCAGUUGCAGACAUGUCCUUGCUGGAACUUGAGGGAUGAGCUGCACUCUUUGUAUAUGGUUCUUCAGAGCAAGGAACCUGUCAAGAGGGAGAUAAACUCUUCACAUUAUCGAAUCCAGAAGUGCUCCUAUAAAGAGAAUUCAUUGUGCAGAGGUCAAGAUAGAUUUCUUGAGAUUUAUUUGCAGGCCUAGCCUUCAGAAUAGUGAAGUUGUUGUUUGGACGGCAAACCUAACUCCUGAUAUGACCACCCUUGAGGAGCCAGUUGUCAAGGCAGGGAAAGACAGUUAUCCCUAUAUGACUGAGAUAGGCAGCUAUGACAACCAUGAUUUUUAAGAACACCCUUGGGGCGGAUAACAGGCCAAAAAGUGUAAAACCUGGUAAUGAUUGUGAUUAAAAGUGAAACAAAGAAAUCUUUCGUGAGAAGGAUGAAUCAUUACGUGGAAGUAGGCAUCUUUGAGGUUGUGGCUCGCAAACCAGUCCCCUAAUUCCAAGGAGGGAAUUAUAGCUGCUAGGGAUACCAUCCUGAAUUUCAGAUGUCUGACAUGCUUGUUCCAUUGUCUGAGAUGUAGUAUCUGCCUCCAACCUAUUCUUCUUUGGUAUCAGAAAAUAUCUUGAAUAGAACCCUUUUCCCCUGUGUCGAAGUGGGACUGACUCUAUGGUUCCUAGACUUAGGAGUGAUGAGAUCUCCUGUGUCAGCAAUUGCUUGUGAGAGGAGCCCCUGAAGAGGGAAGGGGAAGGGGGUUGGAAGGGUGGGGUGGAGGUAAAUUUGAUAGUACAGCCAAAGUAAUGGCCUCCAAUACCCAUUUGUCCAAUGUUAUAGUCUCCCGUACUUGAUGAAAGAGAGAGGUGGUGUUCAAAUUGAGGAAGAAGGGUUGUGUCCAGCAGUUGAUAAAACCUGGUCAUUGGAUGGUCUGGACUCUUUACCAAACAAUCAAAAAUGGUGUUUGGAUGAUGCUGAAGGCUGGGGUGAAGCAGUCGAGGUAGUUGCAGACUUUCUUUGAAAACCUGAACCUCUUGGUCAGUGGUUUUGGUGGCCUACGGAAGGCAGAAAAUUGAGCAGGGUGGGAUCUUUGUGUUGACUGAGACCUGCUAAACUUCCUUAUUUUUUGCAGGAGUGUAUAUCCCUAAAAACUUAAGUUUUGUCCUAGAGUGUUUUAGGGUAUGAAGCGAGUUAUCUGUGGAAUCUGCGAAAAGCCUCUGGCAUUUGAAAGGUAAAUCUUCCACAAUCGAUUGUACCUCCCGCAGAAACCUGGGACAACUGAAGCCAGGAAGUUUGCCUCAUUGAUACUGUGGUGGAGACAGACCUGGCUGUCUUGUUCGUCACAUUGAGUGAAGCUUGCAGUGAAGUUUUUGCUAAAAGCUGACCCUCUUUUAUCAUGGAGCUGAACUGUUCAUGAUGUUUCUGUGGCAAAUGGUCAGUAAAAGCAUUAAAUUUCUCUUAAUUCAGGUAGUCGUAUUCUUACAUCAGCACCUGGUGGUGAGUUAUCCUGAACUGAAGUGUUGUUGAUGAAUAGCUCUUAUGACUUUUCUAGUCCUUAUUAUAAAGGGGUGGCUUUUUGGAUAUGCUAACUACCCCUUUCAUUGGCUGCAUCCAUGAACAGAGAGUUUGGUGUAGGAUGAGAAAAUAAAAAUUCAGAAUCCCUGGGUGGGAUGUAGUAUUUUUUAAUCAUCCCUCUUCCGUGUGGCUUAGUGGGGGUGGGGGUGUUGCUGGGGU